UUAAUAUUAUGUAGUUGGCAGACUUUAAUGCUUUGGAGGCAACUAAAAAGCCCUCAUUCCUGUUUUGCAUUUUAAGAUAAUUUUUGUUUUUUUUAGUUUAUAUGUUUAAUAUCUUCUGCUGAUCAUUAAGUUUAUAGAAGCCUUUUUAAGUGUAGUUUUGUUAAUACUUUCAACUAAUUAGUCCUGAAUUAUUUUUUUCAGGUAAGCGUGAGGCGAGAGGUGGACCUGUGUGGUGUGAGGCGGGACAAGGAGUACGUGUGUGUUAAUUAACGUUGAGGGCGAGAUGGAGGUGUAGCCGCGAGGACACAGGUAAGACCGCACCACACCUGUCCACAAAGGAGCGCCACCACAAGCAAAAAAAAACAGGCAAUAGUUCGUCUGGCGUAAGAAUAUUUGUGUUGGAGGAGCAGUGUACCUCUCUCUCUGUUUACUGUAUGGUGAGUACUCGACCAGAACCUGCAUACUCGACCAGAACUUGCAUACUCGACCAGAAUUUGUAUACUCGACCAGAAUAUGUAUACUCGACCAGAAUAAACAGCUGUUAUUAUGA
rnacentral:lncRNA from 1 species